rnacentral:lncRNA from 1 species
GUGCGUCACCCGUCACCACCAUGGUAGGUGUUACAGGGUUAAUCUUUGCAAAAUCAACACUGCACGGCAGUAGCUCGCAGCCACUUCAGCCUUUCACUUUUUCCGCACAACACAGCCUUACUCAAACAAUUUCAGGCUUGAACCAAACUUAAGAACACACACAGUUUACAAGUAAAAACCCAACCUUUAUUAUCUCUCUCAGAAUAAUACAAGGACUCUCGUUUUUAGGCUUGGCUCACAAGUGUUUUCUGAAUGCCUCAGCCAUACACGAAAUGUACAUAAAUAAAGGGAGCUGCCAAUGGCAGUUACAAAGGGGACAGUUACAAAGGGGAUCAUGUCAGCCACUUGCCCAUGAUCUUUGAUCAUGUCUUCAACCACUCGCCCAUGAUCUCGGACAUGCCUUCAGCCACUCGCCCAUGAUCUCGGACAUGCCUUCAGCCACUCGCCCAUGAUCUCGGACAUGCCUUUACAAGUAAAAACCCAACCUUUAUUAUCUCUCUCAGAAUAAUACAAGGACUCUCGUUUUUAGGCUUGGCUCACAAGUGUUUUUUGAAUGCCUUAGCCAUACACGAAAUGCACAUAAAUAAAGGGAGCUGCCAAUCGCAGUUACAAAGGGGACAGUUACAUAGGGGAUCAUGUCAGCCACUCGCCCAUGAUCUUUGAUCAUGCCUUCAGCCACUCGCCCAUGAUCUCGAUCAUGCCUUCAGCCACUCGCCCAUGAUCUCGGACAUGCCUUCAACUUCCGUGUGCCUGUUUUGCACGCAGCUUCAUCAUGUGCCGAGCACACAGCUUCAUCACAUGCCGAGCAUGCUUUCAUCCAGCUCGUCCGCACCUUGCCCCUAAGCCCAACUUUGUCUCGGACCUAGCCUCGCCCCUAACUUCAUAGCCACGCCCUGCUAUAAGCUAGGUCGUCCCACUGAUCCGCGCGCAUGCCUUUGUCAAGUGCCAUGCUUUGCCAUAGCCGCUGCCCACAAAUCAAGGCCGCCUUGCAAACACUCCUUGCCCCUAAGCCCAACUUUGUCUCGGACCUAGCCUCGCCCCUAACUUCAUAGCCACGCCCUGCUAUAAGCUAGGUCGUCCCACUGAUCCGCGCGCAUGCCUUUGUCAAGUGCCAUGCUUUGCCAAAGCCGCUGCCCACAAAUAAAGGCCGCCUUGCAAACACUCCGGCUGCCUUGUCUUAGCUGCCUUUGCCUAAUCCCAUCACCACUUAGACGCUCGCCCAGCACCAUACAUUGCUUUUCACUGAUUCAAGAAGACAUGUCAAGGGGCAAUGUACAAGCCCUUGAUACGCAUUCUGCCCGACUUCUGUCAUGUCUCAUUUUGGGGGUCUAACAGUAGGCCACUAUCCUACCAUCGAAAGUUGAUAGGGCAGAAAUUUGAAUGAUGCGUCGCCGGCACGAUGGCCGUGCGAUCCGUCGAGUUUGGGGGUCUAACAGUAGGCCACUAUCCUACCAUCGAAAGUUGAUAGGGCAGAAAUUUGAAUGAUGCGUCGCCGGCAAGAUGGCCGUGCGAUCCGUCGAGUUAUCAUGAAUCAUCGACGAGCAGUCCGCGUCGACCUUUUAUCUAUUAAAUGCAUCCCUUCCAGAAGUCGGGGUUUGUUGCACGUAUUCGCUCUAGAAUUACUAUGUUUAUCCGAGUAGUAGAUACCAUCAAACAACUAUAUUUGAUUUAAUGAGCUAUUCGCAGUUUCACAGUCUGAAUUUGUUCAUACUUACACAUGCAUGGCUUAAUAUUUGAGACAAUUAUAUGAUUACUGGCAGGAUCAACCAUUGACGCCGGCGUCGCAUGAGCGUGGCCGACCCAAAAGGGCACGGCCAGGUCCAAGGCGAGCACGACCAUCAUACGUAAGGAGCAUUCUUUGGGUAGAUAGAAGCCAAUGAAGGCCUCGUUCCCAUUGCGUUUACCGAAUCCGAGAGAUCGAGGAUUCUAAGUCGUGGACAAAGCCAUCGCAAGGCGAAUCCUGGACGACCUGGGACAGAACUGCAGCUUUUGGUUCACCCCGCACGUCGAACGCGAGGAGCGAAAGGCGACCGAUUGUGCUUGAUAAUGCCUUGGCUGACCUGGGACACAACUGCAGCUUUUGGUUCACCCCACACGUCGAACGCGAAGGGUGAAAGGCGGCCAAUUGUGCUUGAUAAUGCCUUGGCAUUAGGUAUGCAGCACAGAAAACCGACGUUGAACAAGCCUAAUUUGCGCUUGUGACAUGACUGAGAUGGCAUGCGAGCUAGGACAUCGCUGCUCGAACGGGGAUCCAACCUAGCCACACAAGCCGAACACCACUCAUGCGCCGCAAAUACACUUUCCUCGUCGAUUCAAAGCCAAAACCAGCCCCAACACGUGACGCGCAGCCAUGUGUUGUUGCCGAUGCCAACAUUAUAAAGCCAAGACAAGCCCCACAAAGCACGAAUAGGGGGUUUAAACAAUGCCAGACACAACCCACAACAACCGAUGGCAAUCGGCAACUUACUAAGCUUCACCCCGUGCGCACGGCACCUUGCGGCUCUAAUUGCACGGUGCUUUGCCAUUUUGUUGCAAAAAGUCAUCAGCCUCCACGAGCGAUGCCGCCUCCCGAUGUUGCCGGCAACAACUGAUGGCAAUCGGCAACUUGCUAUGCUUCGCCCCAUGCGCACGGAACCUUACGGCGCUACUUGCAUGAUGCAUUGCCAUUUUGUUGCCAAAGGCCAUCAACCGCCACUAGCGAUGUCGCCUUCCGAUGUUUCCCACAAAAACCAAUGGAAAUUGUCAAUUUACUAAGCUUCGCCCCGUGAGCACGGCACCUUGCGGUGCUACUUGCACGAUGCUUUGCCAUUUUGUUGACAAAAGCCAUCAGCCGCCACGAGCGAUGUCGCCUCCCGAUGAUGCCCGCAAAAACCAAUGGCAAUCGGCAACUUACUAAGCUUUGCCCCGUGCGCACAGCACCUUGCGGCGCUACUUGCACAAUGCUUUACCAUUUUGUUGCCAAAGCCCAUCGUGCGCACAGCACCUUGCGGCGCUACUUGCACGAUGCUUUACCAUUUUGUUGCCAAAGCCCAUCAGAUGCCACGAGUGAUGAUGCAUCCUAAUGUUUCCCGCAACAACCAAUGGCAAUAAAAAUCUACUGAGCUUCGCCCCUUGCGCAGGGCACCUUGCGGCGCUACUUGCACGAUGCUCCGCUGUUCGUUGUCGAAAGACAUAAGCCGCCACGGAGGGGGGUUUACAGACACAACCCACGACAAUUGAUGGCAAUUGGCAACUUACUAAGCUUCGCCCCAUGCGCACGGCACCUUGCGGCGCUACUUGCACGACGCUCCGCCGUUCCAUUGCCAAAAGCCAUCAACCGUCAUGAGCGAUAUUGCCCGCAACAACCGAUGGAAAUCGACAUCUACUGAUCUUCGCCCCAUGCGCUCCGAAAGCCAUCAACCGCCAUGAGCGAUAUUGCCCGCAACAACCGAUGGAAAUCGACAUCUACUGAACUUCGCCCUAUGCGCACGGGACCUUGCGGCGCUACUUGCACGACGCUCCGCCGUUCGUAGUCAAAAGCCAUCAGCCGCCACAAAAGAUUCCAGACACAACACACAACAACCGAUGGCAAUUAACAACAACUUAUUUAGCUUUUCCCCAUGCGCACGGCACCUAGCGGCACUACUUGCACGACGCUUUGCCGUUCUGUUGUCAAACUCCAUCAGCCGCCACGAGCGAUGUCGCCUCCCGAUUUUGCCCGCAACAUCCAAUGGCGAUCAACAAGUACUAAGCUUUGCCCCAUGCGUACGUCACCUUGCGGCGUUAUCUGUGUGACGCUCCACCGUUCAUUUCAAAAAGCCAAUGUUUGCCACGAGCGGUGCCACCACCAGGCGCACUACGAGCCCACAGGAGUACUUGUCGGCGCGGUUUGGGGACAUCGAGGACGUAGCACGGACAAGCCGUGCAUGCCCCCAAUGCCCACGCCCCAUGCCAGCGUCCCCAUGCAUGCCCGCCCCUUCCUAGCAGCAAGCACCUGAGGUGCCUAUCAACACCUCUACCCCCCUUAUAUAUACUUAAAAAAAAUCCAAGUUUCAGGAUUAGACAUGUUUUGGCCAGAGAAUCAUAAUUGACACGUACAACACCAAAUAGCACCAACCAAAGUACAACUUGGCUAAGAUAUUCACAAAUGACUUUUAUACAUUGUAAAUGAUAGUUUCAGGAGUAAACAUGUUUUGGCCAGGGAAUCAUAAUAGACAUGUACAACACUAAAUAGCACAAACCAAAGUACAACUUGGCUAAGAUAUUCACAAAUGACUUUUAAUCAUUGCAAAUGAUAUUUUUUACAAAAAAUUAAUAUUUUUUUGAAAUUGUUUUAUUCGAAAACCAAAAAUACUUAAUAAAAAACAAAAAAAAAUGAAAAUUACAAUAGAAAUAGAAGAAAUGAUGGAGAAAAAUUCCAAUACAACUUGUAAUAGAAUAACAUAUAAAAGAGUAAAUAUUUUUACUAAAAAGUGACAUAAAACUAAUUUAAAAUAACAAAAAAUGCAUAAAAAUAUAUUAAAAAUAGGAAAAAUACAUAAUAUUAUUAUAAAAGCGUAUAGAUGACCAACCGCAAAUAAGCACCUCCAUUUUCGGAACCACAACAAGUGAUUCCGAUUUGAAAAAACCACCGCCAACCACAAAGCGUCGACCAACCGUCGCCGGUGGAUACCGCUCGAGCCACCGCGACUUUCCACCAUUCAUGGCCAGGCCCUGCCAUGUCCUACGACGUCUUCACUCGUACCAUGUCCACGCCAUGCCAUGUCCUGAAGCGUCCUGACUCGUGCCAUGGCCAUGUCCUGACACGUCCUACGACGUCCCGACUCGUGCCAUGGCCACGCCCUGUUACAUGUGCCAUGGCCAUGUCUUGAUGCGUCCUGACACUUGCCAUGGUCACACCCUGCCAUGUCCCGCAACGUCCCGACUCAUGCCAUGGCCACGCCCUGCCAUGUACCGACGCGUCCUGACACAUGCCAUGGCCAUGUCCUGAUGCGUCCUGACACGUGCCAUGGCCAUGUAAG